CUCAGCAACACAUAGACUAAAAUAAACUGAAACCAUACAGAGAAAAUUAGCAUUGUCCCUGUACAAGGAUGACAUGAAAAUUCAUGAAGUUUCUUUUCUCUCU